rnacentral:rRNA from 1 species
AGUGAACGCUGGCGGUAGGCCUAACACAUGCAAGUCGAACGGCAGCACAGUAAGAGCUUGCUCUUACGGGUGUCGAGUGGCGGACGGGUGCGGAAUACAUCGGAAUCUACUUUUUCGUGGGUGAUAACGUAGGGAAACUUACGCUAAUACCGCAUACGACCUACGGGUGAAAGCAGGGGUUCUUCGGACCUUUCGCGAUUGAAUGAGCCGAUGUCGGAUUAGCUAGUUGGCGGGGUAAAGGCCCACCAAGGCGACGAUCCGUAGCUGGUCUGAGAGGAUGAACAGACACACUGGAACUGAGACACGGUCCAGACUCCUACGGGAGGAAGCAGUGGGGAAUAUUGGACAAUGGGCGCAAGCCUGAUCCAGCCAUACCGCGUGGGUGAAGAAGGACUUCGGGUUGUAAAGCCAUUUUGUUGGGAAAGAAAAGCAGCAGGUUAAUACCCCGCUGUUCUGACGGUACCCAAAGAAUAAGCACCGGCUAACUUCGUG